UCAGAGGCAGCUGGUGAGUGAGGGGAGGGGUAGGCCAGAGGUGGCCAUGCUGUAACUCACCUACAUUUAAUCCUCCACCAGACUAAUUUCUGGGUAAAGCCACAACACACGCGCAUGUGUGUGCAUCUGUACCGUCGCCCACUUCAGGACGUAGCCUGAACCUCGAAUGCAUCGGUUGAAUGGAGAUUACCCAGUACACCAUCCACUGUAAUCACGUUCCCCAGAAUUCCUCUUACAUUCUCAAGAAUUUCACUUCCCUUUCUGUGCUGAGAUGAUCCGAAUCCACAACCCCCACCCUCUGCCGUUUUUGCAUCAGACUGAAAUGUUUCUGAGGGAAGGUACACUGUGUGACACUGUCCUCACUGUGGAUGGUUACACUUUCAAAGCACAUGCACUGGUACUAUCCUGGGCCAGCAAGACCUUUGAACGCCAGCUAAUCAACCAGAAUCCAGCUAAAGGCUACUGCUGCACUGUUGAUGGUGUUUCCCCACAAACUGUUAAGCAAAUCCUUGACUAUGUGUACAGUGCUUGCGUAGAAGUAUCAAUAGGGGACCUUCCAGAUUUGCUCAGGGGAGCUCAGCAUCUGGAGAUGCAGUCACUUUUGGAGCAGUGUGAGUUGCAAAUGGGGAUCCAGGACAGGGUUAAAGGUAGAGAA